rnacentral:rRNA from 1 species
AAUGAACGUUGGCGGCAUGGAUUAGGCAUGCAAGUCGAGCGAGAAGAGUUUUGAAGCUUGCUUUAGAACUCGGACAGCGGCGAAAGGGAGAGUAACGCGUAGUUAUGUGCCCUAGGGUCCGGAAUAGCCACGGGAAACUGUGGGUAAUGCCGGAUAAUAUCCCCGGAUCAAAGGUGUGAUUCCGCCCUAGGAGCAGACUGCGUCCUACUAGCUAGUUGGUGGGGUAAUGGCCCACCAAGGCAAUGAUGGGUAGCGGGUGUGAGAGCAUGACCCGGCUCACUGGGACUGGGACACUGCCCAGACACCUACGGGUGGCUGCAGUCGAGAAUCUGCGGCAAUGGGCGAAAGCCUGACCGAGCGAUGCCGCGUGCGGGAUGAAGGCCCUCGGGUUGUAAACCGCUGUCGUAGGGGAGGAAGGUUCCGUGAAGAGCGGGACUUGACCUAUCCUAGGAGGAAGUACGGGCUAAGUUCGUGCCAGCCGCCGCAGUAA